UACGGGGGGGGCAAGCGUUGUUCGGAAUUACUGGGCGUAAAGGGCUCGUAGGUGGCCAACUAAGUCAGACGUGAAAUCCCCAGGCUCAACUUGGGAACUGCGUCUGAUACUGGAUGGCUUGAAUUCGGGAGAGGGAUGCAGAAUUCCAGGUGUAGCGGUGAAAUGCGUAGAUAUCUGGAGGAAUACCGGUGGCGAAGGCGGCAUCCUGGACCGAGAUUGACACUGAUGUGCAAAAGCUAGGGGAGCAAACGGG
rnacentral:rRNA from 1 species